rnacentral:rRNA from 1 species
GACAGAGGUGCCGAGCGUUAGGCGGAAUCACUGGGCUUAAAGCGUGUGUAGGCGGGCGAUCAAGUACCUUGUGAAAUCCCACGGCUCAACCGUGGAACCGCUGGGUAUACUGGUUGUCUUGAGCCGGCUAGGGGCGAGCGGAACAGACGGUGGAGCGGUGAAAUGCGUAGAUAUCAGGAGGAAUACCGAUGGCGAAGGCAGGUCUCUGGGCUGACACUGACGCUCAUGCACGAAAGCGUGGGGAGCAAACAGG